rnacentral:rRNA from 1 species
UACAGAGGUCCCAAGCGUUGUUCGGAUUCAUUGGGCGUAAAGCGCACGUAGGCGGCUAUCUAAGUCGGAUGUGAAAUCCCUCGGCUUAACCAAGGAAGUGCACCCGAAACUGGAUAGCUUGAGUACAGAAGAGGAUCGCGGAAUUCCCGGUGUAGAGGUGAAAUUCGUAGAUAUCGGGAGGAACACCAGUGGCGAAGGCGGCGAUCUGGGCUGAUACUGACGCUGAGGUGCGAAAGCGUGGGGAGCAAACAGG